GGGCCGUUAGUUCAGUUGGUAGAAUGCGUCUCUCCUACUUUAGGGAUUCAAAGAUGAGGUCCUGGGUUCGAGCCCCAGGCGGCCCU
rfam:Malassezia sympodialis ATCC 42132 genomic scaffold, msy_sf_13